rnacentral:rRNA from 1 species
AGAGGAUUUAAGUGUGAAAAUCAAUUUUAAUGAGAGUAUAUGUUAUUGAAAUUAAAUAUAAACGAUAGUUUAAAGUACUGUGAAGGAACCUUGGAAGAAAAAAUUAAAAAUAUAAAUAGAAGUUAUAUAAAAAUGUACCUUGUGUAUUAGGGGUAAUUAAAAUUGACUAAAUAGGUAAUGGAAAUCUCGAAAUAAAAACAGUUAAUUUUAUAAUGAGUUUUUAUAGCAAAAAAAUUUUUAAUGUAAAAUUAAAGACGAAAUGUUAGACGAGUUUUAUUAUAUCUGGUUUUUCAAGAAAUGAAUUUAAUUCAAGCUUAAAAGUAAAAGAAAUUUAGGUAAAGGAGUAGGAGGGAAUAGCUUCUUAUUCAAAAAUUUAAAUUAUAAUAGUUAAAUAAAAUAUAAGACUUUAAAUUAGGCUUAGAAGUAGCUAUAAUAACAAAGUGUUUAAACUAAGGAGAGAUGUAAUAAAUUAUUUAUUUUAACUUUAGUAAAGUAUUGGGAAGUAGUCCAAGAUAUAAAGUGUUUAGAUAUAUUGAUUUUAUUAGUAAAGGGUAAUGUAAUGAUACAAUAUUAAAUUAAUAAAUAAUUUUUAAAGGAAUAAAGGGUAUUGAAAAGGAAUUCGGCAAAUAGUUUCCUUGCCUGUUUAUCAAAAACAUGUCUAUUUGAAGAUAAAGAUGGUCUAACCUGCUCACUGAUAAUAUUAUUAAAGAGCCGCGGUAUAUUGACCGUGCAAAGGUAGCAUAAUCAUUAGGGGUUUAAUUGGAACCUGGUAUGAAGGGUUGGACAAAGGAAAAACUGUCUUUCUGAUAUAAGUUGAAAUUUACUUUUAAGUGAAAAGGCUUAAAUUAAUCAAAGGGACGAUAAGACCCUAUAAAGCUUUAUAAAUAAUUUAAAUUUAAUUGAUUUAUUAAUUAAAGGUUGAAUUUAACUAUUUUAUUUUGUUGGGGUGAUGUGAGUAUAAGUUAUAUUAACUGCUUAAAAGAAAUUCUAUCAUAAAAGAGUCUAUAGUGUAGAUGAUCCUUUAUAAAGAUUAAAAGACUAAGUUACUUUAGGGGUAACAGCGUUAUUUCUUUUGAGAGUUCAUAUCGAAAAAGAAGAUUGCGACCUCGAUGUUGAAUUAAAAUGUCUAUAUAAUGCAGUCGUUAUAAGAGAGGGUCUGUUCGACCUUUAAAGUUUUACAUGAUUUGAGUUCAGACCGGCGUAAGCCAGGUCGGUUUCUAUCUUUUGAGUGGAAAAAAUUACUUUAGUACGAAAGGAUUAAGUAAUUUAAAGGUUUUAAUGAAAUGUAAU